rnacentral:rRNA from 1 species
CCUACGGGAGGCUGCAGUGGGGAAUAUUGGACAAUGGGGGGAACCCUGAUCCAGCCAUGCCGCGUGUGUGAAGAAGGCCCUCGGGUUGUAAAGCACUUUCAGUGAGGAAGAACGCCUGGUGGUUAAUACCCAUCAGGAAAGACAUCACUCACAGAAGAAGCACCGGCUAACUCCGUGCCAGCAGCCGCGGUAAUACGGAGGGUGCGAGCGUUAAUCGGAAUUACUGGGCGUAAAGCGCGCGUAGGUGGCUUGAUAAGCCGGUUGUGAAAGCCCCGGGCUCAACCUGGGAACGGCAUCCGGAACUGUCAAGCUAGAGUGCAGGAGAGGAAGGUAGAAUUCCCGGUGUAGCGGUGAAAUGCGUAGAGAUCGGGAGGAAUACCAGUGGCGAAGGCGGCCUUCUGGACUGACACUGACACUGAGGUGCGAAAGCGUGGGUAGCAAACAGGAUUAGAUACCCUGUUAGUC